rnacentral:rRNA from 1 species
GAAGGCUUACCUGGCAGGUCGAGGGGGCAUCGGGAGGGAAGCUUGCUUUCCUUGCCGGCGACCGGCGCACGGGUGAGCUAACACGUAUGCAACCUGCCCUCUUCAGGGGGACAACCUUCCGAAAGGGAGGCUAAUCCCGCGUAUAUCGGUUUCGGGCAUCCGGGAUCGAGGAAAGAUUCAUCGGAAGAGGAUGGGCAUGCGGCGCAUUAGCUUGACGGCGGGGUAACGGCCCACCGUGGCGACGAUGCGUAGGGGUUCUGAGAGGAAGGUCCCCCACACUGGUACUGAGACACGGACCAGACUCCUACGGGAGGCAGCAGUGAGGAAUAUUGGUCAAUGGGAGAGAUCCUGAACCAGCCAAGCCGCGUGAGGGAAGACGGCCCUAUGGGUUGUAAACCUCUUUUGUCGGAGAACAAAACCCGGGACGUGUCCCGGACUGCGUGUAUCCGAAGAAAAAGCAUCGGCUAACUCCGUGCCAGCAGCCGCGGUAAUACGGAGGAUGCGAGCGUUAUCCGGAUUUAUUGGGUUUAAAGGGUGCGUAGGCGGUCCGUUAAGUCAGCGGUAAAAUUGCGGGGCUCAACCCCGUCGAGCCGUUGAAACUGGCAGACUUGAGUUGGCGAGAAGUACGCGGAAUGCGCGGUGUAGCGGUGAAAUGCAUAGAUAUCGCGCAGAACUCCGAUUGCGAAGGCAGCGUACCGGCGCCAGACUGACGCUGAGGCACGAAAGCGUGGGGAUCGAACAGGAUUAAAU